rnacentral:tRNA from 1 species
GCCGGAGUGGUGAAAUGGUAGACACGCACGCUUUAGGAGCGUGUGCUUUACAGCAUGCUGGUUCAAGUCCAGUCUCCGGCA